rnacentral:rRNA from 1 species
GAUGAACGCUGGCGGCGUGCCUAAUACAUGCAAGUCGAGCGAACAGACGAGGAGCUUGCUCCUCUGACGUUAGCGGCGGACGGGUGAGUAACACGUGGAUAACCUACAUAUAAGACUGGGAUAACUUCGGGAAACCGGAGCUAAUACCGGAUAAUAUAUUGAACCGCAUGGUUCAAUAGUGAAAGACGGUUUUGCUGUCACUUAUAGAUGGAUCUGCGCCGCAUUAGCUAGUUGGUAAGGUAACGGCUUACCAAGGCAACGAUGCGUAGCCGACCUGAGAGGGUGAUCGGCCACACUGGAACUGAGACACGGUCCAGACUCCUACGGGAGGCAGCAGUAGGGAAUCUUCCGCAAUGGGCGAAAGCUUGACGGAGCAACGCCGCGUGAGUGAUGAAGGUCUUCGGAUCGUAAAACUCUGUUAUUAGGGAAGAACAAAUGUGUAAGUAACUAUGCACGUCUUGACGGUACCUAAUCAGAAAGCCACGGCUAACUACGUG